UUUUUUUUUUUUUUUUUUUUUUUGCUUUUUAGGGCCACACUUGUGGCAUAUGGAGGUUCCCAGGCUAGGGGUCUAAUUGGAGCUACAGCUGCCAGCCUACACCCCAGCCACAGCAAUAGCAACGCCAGAUCCAAGCCGCAUCUGUGACCUACACCACAGCUCAUGGCAACAGUGGAUCCUUAACCAACAGAGUAAGGCCAGGGAUUGAUUCGUUUCUGCUGAGCCACGACAAGAACUCCCCAUUUUGAGUUUAUUUUUGUGCAUGCUGUUAGUGUUCUAAUUUCAUUCUUUUACAUUUAGCUGUCUAGUUUUCCCACCACCAUCUAGUGAAGAGAAUAUUGUAUAUUCUCCAUUGUACAUUCUGACCUCCUUUGUCAGAGAUUAAUUGACCAUAGAUGCAGGGAUUUAUUUCUGGGCUUUCUAUCCUGUUCCACUGAUCUGUAUUUCUGUUUUUGUGCCAGUACCAUACUGGUUUUUUUUAUUUUUUAUUUAUUUAUUUUCUCUAUUUUUUCUUUAUUUUUUGGGGCUGUACCAAUGGAAAAUGGAGGUUCCUAGGCUGCUGGCCUAUGCCACAGCCACAGCAAUGCCAGAACUGAACCGUGUCUGCAAUCUACACCAUAGCUCACAGCAAUGCCAGAUCUCUAAAACACUGAGUGAGGCCAGGGAUCAAACCUGUGUCCUCAUGGAUACUAGUUGGCUUCAUAAACCUCUGAGCCAUGAUGGGACCUCCAGUAGUUUUGAUGACUGUAGACUUGAAAUAUAGUCUAAGGUCAGGGAUCCUAAUUCUUCCAGCUCCAUUUUUCUUUCUAAGAUUACUUUAGCUAUCCGGGGUCUUUUGUAUUGCCAUACAAAUUAAAAUUUUUUUUUUCUAGUUCUGUGGAAAAAUACCAUUGGUAAUUUAAUAGGGAUUACACUGAAUCUGUAGAUUGCCUUGGGCUGUAUAGUCAUUUUGACAUUACUGAUUCUUCCGGUCUAAGAGCAUGGUAUAUCUUUCCAUCUGUUUGUGUCAUCCUCAGUAUUCUUCAUCAGUAUCUUAUAGUUUUCAGAGUAUAAGUCUUUUGCCUCCUUAGGUAAGUUUAUUCCUAGAUAUUUUAUUCUUUUCACUGCAGUAGUAAAUGCGAUUAUUUCCUUAAUUUCUCUCUCUGAUCUUUUGUUGUUAGUAUAUAGAAAUGCAAGUGAUUUCUGAGUGUUAAUUUUGUAUCCUGCAACUUUACUAAAUUCACUGAUGAGCUCUAGUAGUUUUCUUGUAGCAUCCUUAGGAUUUUCUGUGUGUAGCAUCAUGUCAUCUGCAAACAGUGACAGUUUGACUUCUUUUCCAAUUUGGAUUCCUUUUAUUUCUUUUUUCUUCUCUAAUUGCCAUAGCUAGGACUUCCAAAACUAUGUUGAGUAAGAGUGGUGAGAGUGGAAAUUCCUGUCUUAUUCUUGAUCUUAGAGGAAAUGCUUACAGCUUUUCACCAUUGAGAAUGAUGUUAAAAGUGGGUUUGUCAUAUAUGGUCUAUAUUAUGUUGAGGUAUAUUCCCUCUAUGCCCAUUUUCUGGAGAGUUUUUUUUUUGUAAUCAUAAAUGGGUGUUGAAUUUUGUCAAAAGAUUUUUCUGCAUAUAUUGAGAUUAUUAUGUGAUUUUUAUUCUUCAGUUUGUUAUUGUGGUGUAUCACACUGAUUUAUUGGUGGAUAUUGAAGAAUCCUUGCAUCCCUGGGAUGAAUCCCACUUGAUUAUGGUGUAUGAUCCUUUUAUGAUAUUGCUGGAUUUGAUUCGCUAAUAUUUUGCUGAGGAUUUUUGCAUCUAUGUUCAUCAAUGACAUUGGCCUGUAAUUUUCUUUUUUUGUGUGGUAUUUUUGUCUGAUUUUGGGUGAUGGUGUCCUCAUGGAAUGAGCUUGGGAGUAUUUGUUCCUCUGCAAUGUGCGUUUUUACUUUUAUUUUACCAGACUAUAUGUUAAAAUGCAUUGAACAAAACUGUGUCUACUUGGACAACAAACGUACCACAAAAAUUUAUAUUGUGCCAUUAAUAAUUGUGCUUUUGUCAGUCAUUAUAUACUCCUCCCCCCCCAAUAAGUAUGUAUGAAGCAUCAACUGAUCAUGAGAUAAAGCUGAAAGAGUAGACUGGAUCAGAACAUGAUUGGCAUAUUUUCUUCAGCAGUAAAUGGGUAUUAUCAAGAAAAAAAAAAACAGUUGAUCAAAUCUUGAGAAGAUACAAUGGUAGUGGUGUGUAAGACAUAUUGGUGGAGGAUGAGACCAAAGGUAGGGAAACUGGCUAAUAUCAUUGCUGGAGAAAUGGAGAAGAGGGUAGAAUUAAUGGAGUUACAUUGUGUGAACUACUGCCAUGUAGUUUUUAUUUAAUUUAAGAAGAAUGAAUCCUCAAAAAAAGUUAGUUGAAUACAUGUUGGUCACUUAUGGAAAAAAGGAAACAGUGAAAGAUGAUAGAAGUUCCCUCAAGGCCUAGCAGUUAAGGACUUGGUGUCACAGCUGUAGCUUGGGUUACUGCUGUGGCUUGAGUUCAAUUCCUGUCCCAGGAACUUCUGCAUGACAGGGGUAUGGCCAAAAAUAAAUAAAUAAAUAAACAAAUAAAGGGUGAAUGCUCAAAAAAAAAGUUAGUUGAAUACAUGUUGGUCAUUUACUGAGGAAAGGAAAUAUUCAAAGAUGAAAUAUUCAAAGGAAAUAUUCAAAGGAAAUAUUCAAUAAAGUCUCAGUCCUAACUGGGUUAAAACUAAGCUCAUUUAAUUCCUGUCAACACUGGUACUGUUGCUUGUGCUACUGCCAGCCUAUGAAAUUUUUGAAUGAAUUAUAAAAAGUUAUAUUUUUAAAAAAAUUGUCCUAAUAUAGUGAUAUUCUUUGGACAAGAUCAUUUACUGUUAUCAGUGGAAAAGUCUUAUAGUAAAUGCAUAAAUGUGAUGUCUAUGAUUGGAAUAUGCCCUUUGAAUGUGGUGGGUUGGGCAAAACCCAUGAUACACUAUCAUAUGCAAUGGUCUUAAGAGUUGCUUGCUCUUAAGGAAAUCACGACUUUUCAUUUACAUCAAGGGAAAGAAGAAAAUGUGGUCAAGAGUGACAAAUGCUUCAAAGGCAAAGGAAAAUGAGUAAUGACUAGAGAAUACUAUGUAUAACAAUUAAAAGGUUUAUUGGUGAUUUUUUUGAGAUAGAAAUUUCAUAAAAUUAUAAAUCUCUGGGGCUGAAAAAUACUACAGAGUUCUAACUCCCCUUUUCCUUCCAGUUUUAAAAGUGGAAAAAUAGAGACCCAGUAAUUUGAGGGAAUUGCGCAUUCUCUAGCAGCACUACCUGCUACUCCACAUUUCUUUUGGUUUUGAACUUGUGUCUUGUAUUCUUCUAUCUUUAUUAAUCUACCAUAAAGAUUCUUCUAGGCUAAGAGGUUUUCCUAAUCACUUCAAUAUAGAGAAUGUGAAAGUCUAAAUUCUGAUAAGCAAAACUGGCACUGUGGAAUGAAGGAGAACAUUACUGACAGCAUUGGAUAUACCAAAGGUCAUCUAUACAUUUUGGGGAGGAACUUAGAAUUUCUUCCAACAUCACCUUUCCUCCAGAGAAAGGCUUUCUUGUACAUCUUACUGGAAUAAGUUUAUAUGCCUUAGUGUAGAUGAACUAGAGAAGAAGUGGGUUGUAGACUGACUUCCAAGAAUGUUUUCUUUUCUGUUCUUGUCUGGCAGAACAAUGAAGACAAAAGAUAAAUUUCCCAGAAUUGAAUAGUCACUAGGAGGUGAGAAGUGGAGGCAGUGGGGAGUGACUAUUUAUAAAAUAAGUUUGUUAGAGAAUGACAAGAGGUUGCUAGUAGAGGAAAAUGAUGACAUUAAGGAAAAACUAAGAAGGGGUCAAAACACAAUAUUUACUGGACAUUCCUGAUUCUAUUUCAGUCCUUCUCUGGGUGUUCUCCUCAUUCAUUUCCUUAUUUUUUUUUUCUUCAUGCUCCUUUUGAAAUUUCACAUUUCAUAGGAAGUCUUUCCUAAAAAUAAUCAUCACCUCAUAAACUACUAUACCCCAUACAUGCCUUUUUAGCUAUAAGUUUUAAUUAUUCCAUACCUUUAUACAGGUUGUAUAUUUUUACUCAGUUUAGAAAAAUUCAGUCUUUCAAAGAUCAGUGUGACUCAUGUAUUUAACCCUAAUACCUCUUAUUGCACACAAACCCCACACAUGUAGGCAAUAAAAUAUUGUUCCUGUUUUUUUGCCAUUUUCCUUAAGUCAUCAUUAAGGCUUUCAUCCAUUCAAAAUAUUACUGGGCACCCUGUGUGAUGAAGGGAUGGAUACAGAGUGAGGCAGAUAAGACUCUGGCUGCCAUGUUGCUGGUUCCUUCUCCUGGAGGCUUGGGUGACUUUGUGGGCAAUGCAGCUAUUCAUCUACCCAGCAAUUGUUGUCUCUCUGUCUUCUUGCUAAUUGAAUCUUGCUUUUGUUGAGGUAUUAGACAGGCAGCAAUAGGCUCAGGGAAAUUAUGCCUGUCCCUUGAUGCAAGAAGUGAACCAUAAUUGAUUAAAUGAGUCACAUUAAUCUCAUACUUCUCUGCCAGUGGGAAGAUGGUGGGCUUAGUUCUAGUUAUGGGAAAAGAAUAUAUUUGGUGCAGAGGUACUUUCUUAUUCCUCUCUAUUGGUACACCAGUGGGAGGAAGUACCAAUUGGAACUAUACUCUCUUGCGGCUUAGCCAAGAGAAUCUCCCAGACUCUAACCUGAAAAACUGACAACUUGAAUCACUAAACUGCUUGGAACAGCUUACUUCUAGACUUUUUGUUAACCAUAAGUUAUAACUUUGUGGUUUAAACUUCUGCUUGUUAAUCAGAUUUGUUGUUGUUGAUAUUUGUAUCUGAAAUCUUAAUAGAAGCUCUGAUAAAUACCCUGUCCAUGAGGGCAGGAUAGAUAGGUGGGAGAAAGGCAAGUUCUAAAGAUGAGUCAGUUGAGGGAAGUUGUUUGUUAAGGAAAAGGUGAAAUAGUGCAGCUCAUAGUGGAGGAAGAAUAAUUAUUGAGGGCUGAGUAAAGAGACAUGGAGACUGUCCCCCAAACUGAGCCACUGGAAUGGAAGUUCAUAAUAAAUACUUAUUAAAUCUUGAAUAAAGACAGUGCAGAUUGUCAAAUUUAGCAUAUGUGAUAAGGAUAAGGAAAGUCAGAGGCCAGGAAAAUAAAGAGCAGGAUGACUGAAUUUGAAUAGACACUAAUCUCAUCAUAUGGGCUCCAUUUUCACGAACUUAUCCAAACCAAUUAACACUCAAAGGCCCCACCUCCAAAGAACAUCACCCCGGUGGGGGUGGGGUAAGGGCUUCAACAUAUAAAAUUUGGGGAACACAACAUUCAGUCCAUAACACUCUUCAAGUUUUAAUUUUCUUGGGAGUUUUUGUAGUGUUUCAGUGGGUUAUAAACCUUACCAGUAUCCAUGAAAAUGCAAGUUUCAUCCCUGCCUCACUUAUUGUGUUAAAGAUGUGGCAUUGCUGUGUAGGUCAGCAGCUGCAGCUCCCAUUUGACC
ensembl:lncRNA